rnacentral:rRNA from 1 species
UACGUAGGGACCAAGCGUUGUUCGGAUUUACUGGGCGUAAAGGGCGCGUAGGCGGCGUGACAAGUCACUUGUGAAAUCUCAGGGCUUAACUCGGAACGGCCAAGUGAUACUGUCGUGCUAGAGUGCAGAAGGGGCAAUCGGAAUUCUUGGUGUAGCGGUGAAAUGCGUAGAUAUCAAGAGGAACACCUGAGGUGAAGACGGGUUGCUGGGCUGACACUGACGCUGAAGCGCGAAAGCUAGGGGAGCAAACGGG